CUUCCAUAGUUCAAUCACAUUGACUUUUCGUUUGCUUUGAUGUGAUCUUGAUGUUACUUCUGAUAAUAUUGCAGAGAACCAUGGAAACGUCCCUCCUUUUCUGUAAUCAUGGAUAUGCUGAGACCACUAAUUAAACCUCCUCUUGAAGUUACUUCUGAUAAUAUUGCAGAGAACCAUGGAAACGUCCCUCCUUUUCUGUAAUCAUGGAUAUGCUGAGACCACUAAUUAAACCUCCUGUAACACCUCCUCAACCAGGUCGUACAGACAUGCAGUUGCUUACGUGAAUGCAUGUAUUAAAUGUAUGAUUUCUGCACAUAUUUGGCAUUCUUUGUUAGUCACCUUUCUGGGAGGAACAAUGCUUCAGUUACUUCAGGUUCGAUAAUCCUACUAUCUAUGUCUUCUUUUUUUCCCCACGAAAUCUCUCUCUU
rnacentral:lncRNA from 1 species